CGCACCUUGCACCCCACGGCUUUCCGUGGGGUACGCCCGUUCGAGUGUCACGUUAACAUCGAGGAGAGUCUCAGGACUCCUCUCGGACUUGGACGUUGCCGGCGAAAGUCGGCUCGUCUCGAAAUGCAUUAGCUAGAGUGCGCGCAGGCGCGGCGUUGAUAACCUUCACGUCUCCGUCUGAGUGCGAUCUGCUUCCAAUCGCCCUCUCGGGCAAUUUCACACCAAGUUUGACCUCGGAUCGGGUGGGACUACCCGCUGAACUUAA
rnacentral:misc_RNA from 1 species